rnacentral:lncRNA from 13 species
AUGUUCCAAGUCAACCAGCAUUUUUUUCCAUUCUCCUGCCUUUGCUAUUCUCCUUUUUAUAGUCCUCCCGGUUUUGACGCUUGCCUGUUUCUGGACUCCGUACCCGCCUGCCUGACCAUUCUGCCUGCCUUGACCUCGAGUCUGUCUGCCACUCUGUACCUCCUGGACUCUGAACUGGUUUUGAUCUUUUGCCUGUCCACGACCAUUCUCUUGUCUACUCCUUUUUGGAUUAUUAAAAAUAUUAAACUCCAACCAUCUGCCUGCUGUGUCUACAUCUGCGUCUUGCCUUGUGUCAUGAUAAACACAGUGUGUUGGUGGCCCGCUACCAAUAACUUUGGGCUCUCCUUCUCCAUGGCCGACUUGAGUAAGACAUUGAAGUGUGUUAACCCUCGCAAGGCUGCCGGCCCAGAUGGCAUCCUUCGUCGCGUCCUCAGAGGAUGCGCAGACCAGCCUGUUGGUGUGUUUACGGACAUAUGCAAUCUCUCCCCAUCCCAGUCCGCUGUCCCCACAUGCUUCAAGAUGGCCACCAUUGGUCCUGUACCCAAGAAAGCAAAGGUGACUGAACUAAAUGACUAUCACCCCGUGGCACUCACUUCUGUCAUCAUGAAGUGCUUUGAGAGACUAGUCAAGGAUCAUGUCACCUCUACCUUAUCUGUCAACCUAGACCCACUUCAAUUUGCUUACCACCCCAAUAGAUCCACAGACGAUGCAAUCGCCAUCUCACUGCAAACUGCCCUAUCCCAUCUGGACAAGAGAAAUUUGUAUGUAAGAAUGCUUUUCAUUGACUAUAGCUCAGCAUUCAACACCAUAGUACCCUCCAAGCUUAUCAUUAAGCUUGAGGCCUUGGGUCUGAACCUUGCCCUGUGCAACUGGGUUCUGGACUUCCUGAUGGGCCACCCACAGGUGGUGAAGGUAGGAAACAACACCCCCACUUCGCUGAUCCUCAACACUGGGGCCCCACAAUGGUGCGUGCUCAGCCCCCUCCUAUACUGUGUAUCCAUGACUGUAUGGCCAAGCAUGUCUCCAACUCAAUCAUCAAGUUUGCAGACGACACAACAGUAG